ACUUUCGUUUGGCAAAACGAAUGGAAGCUAGCAGUGGUGUAGUGCCCAGUGAUGUUCAAAUAUACCUGAGGGGGCACAGAGGACCAGAUCCUGCAAAUCCAGAUGUGUUGUGUAGCCAAAAGGCAACAGAUCGUCUGGCUGCAUAUGCUGAGGCGAUGUCUAGUCAGCACGGAUCGGACUAUGACUGGAGGACCGCACCUAUUGAUCCUCAGGCUAUGUAUGC